GCUGUGAUGGUUCAGUGGUAGAAUUCUUGCCUCCCAUGAAAGAGGCCUGGGUUUGAUUCCCAGUCAGUGCA